rnacentral:rRNA from 1 species
GAUGAACGCUGGCGGCGUGCCUAAUACAUGCAAGUCGAGCGAAUGGAUUAAGAGCUUGCUCUUAUGAAGUUAGCGGCGGACGGGUGAGUAACACGUGGGUAACCUGCCCAUAAGACUGGGAUAACUCCGGGAAACCGGGGCUAAUACCGGAUAACAUUUUGAACCGCAUGGUUCGAAAUUGAAACGCCGCUUCGGCUGUCACUCAUGGAUGGACCCGCGUCGCAUUUGCUAGUUGGUGAGGUAACGGCUCACCAAGGCAACGAUGCGUAGCCGACCUGAGAGGGUGAUCGGCCACACUGGGACUGAGACACGGCCCAGACUACUACGGGAGGCAGCAGUAGGGAAUCUUCCGCAAUGGACGAAAGUCUGACGGAGCAACGCCGCGUGAGUGAUGAAGGCUUUCGGGUCGUAAAACUCUGUUGUUAGGGAAGAACAAGUGCUAGUUGAAUAAGCUGGCACCUUGACGGUACCUAACCAGAAAGCCACGGCUAACUACGUGCCAGCCGCCGCGGUAA